rnacentral:rRNA from 1 species
GACGAACGCUGGCGGCGUGCCUAAUACAUGCAAGUCGAACGCUGAAGAGAGGAGCUUGCUCUUCUUGGAUGAGUUGCGAACGGGUGAGUAACGCGUAGGUAACCUGCCUUGUAGCGGGGGAUAACUAUUGGAAACGAUAGCUAAUACCGCAUAACAAUGGAUGACACAUGUCAUUUAUUUGAAAGGGGCAAUUGCUCCACUACAAGAUGGACCUGCGUUGUAUUAGCUAGUAGGUGAGGUAAUGGCCCACCUAGGCGACGAUACAUAGCCGACCUGAGAGGGUGAUCGGCCACACUGGGACUGAGACACGGCCCAGACUCCUACGGGAGGCAGCAGUAGGGAAUCUUCGGCAAUGGGGGCAACCCUGACCGAGCAACGCCGCGUGAGUGAAGAAGGUUUUCGGAUCGUAAAGCUCUGUUGUAAGUCAAGAACGGGUGUGAGAGUGGAAAGUUCACACUGUGACGGUAGCUUACCAGAAAGGGACGGCUAACUACGUG